rnacentral:rRNA from 1 species
CAGUCGCCACGGGAAUACGGAGGGCGCGAGCGUUACCCGGAUUUACUGGGCGUAAAGGGCGUGUAGGCGGCCUGGGGCGUCCCAUGUGAAAGGCCACGGCUCAACCGUGGAGGAGCGUGGGAUACGCUCAGGCUAGAGGGUGGGAGAGGGUGGUGGAAUUCCCGGAGUAGCGGUGAAAUGCGCAGAUACCGGGAGGAACGCCGAUGGCGAAGGCAGCCACCUGGUCCACUUCUGACGCUGAGGCGCGAAAGCGUGGGGAGCAAACCGGAUUAGAGACCCGCGUAGUCCCUGUCUCUUAUAC